rnacentral:rRNA from 1 species
AGCGAACGCUGGCGGCAGGCUUAACACAUGCAAGUCGAACGGGCACUUCGGUGCUAGUGGCAGACGGGUGAGUAACACGUGGGAACGUACCCUUCGGUUCGGAAUAAUACAGGGAAACUUGUACUAAUACCGGAUACGCCCUUCGGGGGAAAGAUUUAUCGCCGAUAGAUCGGCCCGCGUCUGAUUAGCUAGUUGGUGAGGUAAUGGCUCACAAAGGCGACGAUCAGUAGCUGGUCUGAGAGGAUGAUCAGCCACACUGGGACUGAGACACGGCCCAGACUCCUACGGGAGGCAGCAGUGGGGAAUAUUGGACAAUGGGCUAAAGCCUGAUCCAGCCAUGCCGCGUGAGUGAUGAAGGCCUUAGGGUUGUAAAGCUCUUUUGUCCGGGAAGAUAAUGACUGUACCGGAAGAAUAAGCCCCGGCUAACUUCGUGCCAGCCGCCGCCGUAAGAC